rnacentral:rRNA from 1 species
CCUACGGGAGGCAGCAGUGGGAAUAUUGCACAAUGGGCGAAAGCCUGAUGCAGCGACGCCGCGUGAGGGAUGACGGCCUUCGGGUUGUAAACCUCUUUCAGCAGGGAAGAAGCGUAGAGUGACGGUAACCUGCAGAAGAAGCGCCGGCUAACUACGUGCCAGCAGCCGCGGUAAUACGUAGGGCGCAAGCGUUGUCCGGAAUUAUUGGGCGUAAAGAGCUCGUAGGCGGCUUGUUGCGUACGGUUGUGAAAGCCCGGGGNUUAACCCCGGGUCUG